rnacentral:misc_RNA from 1 species
GAAAUACUAGUGAGCUGACAUAACUCUCUUGGUAAGGUUCUUAAAUAAUGUAAAGUACAAAGAGCAUGAAAAAAAUAGCAACAUGGCAAAUGUAGAGCGAAAUCGACAGAUUCCAUACCACUUGGAGAGGGUUGAGAAACUUUGAGCAAUGAGCCACUCAUGUUAUCCUCAAGAGCAUGAAGGUGUUCAUAGUUCCACUUCAGAGGCUGCAGAGUUUGUGCUUAGAAGAGAGUCAUAAACACUGGAAUCGAGGCGAUUAAUCUUCUUCAUAAUCUCGCAAAACUUCUCAGCUCUAACAGGAUCAUUACUGUCCUCAAAAUAAGCUAGAAACAUCUUGAUGGAUUCAUCCUUAGGAAACCAAACUUUUUU